CGGGCUCGGCCCGAUCCUCCCACCCUUUGUGUACCUACCUCUGUUGCUUUGGCGGGCCGCGGUCCUCCGCGGCCGCCCCCCUCCCCGGGGGGGUGGCCAGCGCCCGCCAGAGGACCAUCAAACUCCAGUCAGUAAACGAUGCAGUCUGAAAAACAUUUAAUAAACUAAAACUUUCAACAACGGAUCUCUUGGUUCUGGCAUCGAUGAAGAACGCAGCGAAAUGCGAUAAGUAAUGUGAAUUGCAGAAUUCAGUGAAUCAUCGAAUCUUUGAACGCACAUUGCGCCCUUUGGUAUUCCGAAGGGCAUGCCUGUUCGAGCGUCAUUACAACCCUCAAGCUCUGCUUGGUAUUGGGCACCGUCCUUUGCGGGCGCGCCUCAAAGACCUCGGCGGUGGCGUCUUGCCUCAAGCGUAGUAGAACAUACAUCUCGCUUCGGAGCGCAGGGCGUCGCCCGCCGGACGAACCUUCUGAACUUUUCUCAAGGUUGACCUCGGAUCAGGUAGGGAUACCCGCUGAACUUAAGCAUAUC
rnacentral:rRNA from 1 species